AUGCCUUCCUCAAUUUGUUGCACAAACUGCAGAACUAAAUAUUCAUUAUUAAACAGAGAAGCCGGCUGCUCGAAUUGUGCUCUCUCCUUCUGUAAGAAAUGUCUGCCUCAUCGUGCAAUUAUUCCCACACUUUCGGAUUUACCAAUGAUUGUCUGUAACAAUUGCUAUCAAAAAUUGGAAUCUGCCAAAAUGAAGCCCAGCGCGACUAUAACAUCAACGCCUCUACCAGAUAAUUCGAAUAAAUCGAAUAAAAAUUGGUGGGGUGAUGGACUUCCACCGCCAUCAUUCAGGAAUUCGCACACAAAUCAAAAUCAGAUUAAAAAUAGUGAAGUCAAAGCAACUAAAUUCAGGAAUUCGCCAGAAAUUCCAUCGCAGCAGACCAAGUUUUCAGCCAAAUUAUCCGACCAAUGACCUGGAACAGCGAAGACUUAAACUGCGAGAAGAUAUUUCACCACAAAUUGAACCACUCAGUAUAUCAGAAAUUGAAGAACGAUUAGCAAAACUUCGAGAAUGUGAUGUAGAAGUGAUACGUAAUCCUCAAAGUUGGCUAAAGUCUUCUUCCAAGGAACCUGCGAUGAACGCCAAUAAUCCAUCUGAAUUAAUGCGAGUAGCUGAAGAUCGUGCAAGAAUUGAAAAAAAAGAAGAGGAAAUGGAACAUAAAGACUGGGAUGAGCUUGAAGCAAGACGUAGGAAAAUAUUUGAAGAUGAAAAAGAAAAAAAUAGAGAAGAUGAUGCUUCAAUACGAGAAUCAAUGGUUUCUGCAAACACAGAGUUUAGUGAAGCAACGAAAGAAGAAAUGAAUGAGAUUAAUAAUAUUCCAGUAUUCUUCAAGACGCAGAACAACGUGUAGCUGAAACCAAGAAGCAAGAAGAACAUGAUGCCGCUGAACUCAGAACUCUCAUGAAAUCUACUCGUCAGAAGUCUCUUGACGCUAUUCAAUGGAAUGAUAAGAUCACGAAAGAAAUUGGUGGAUUUUGGGAUCGAAGAAACGAAAAAUUAUCUGUAGAUGAAGAUGAAGAUGAAGACGAGAAGUCCUUAGACGAAGAGACUUUCAAAAAGAUUCUUCACGAAGCCGAAAAUUCAGAAGAUCUGCCUCCUCAAACUUCGGAAUCAAACAAGGCGUCAACACCGAGCAACUCGAGCUCACCGAAGAAAAAGGGAUUAUUUGAAAAGUUGUUCAGAAAAGAUUCAAAACAAUAG
rnacentral:misc_RNA from 1 species